UUCGCAAUGCCCGAAAGGGUGACGAAGCGACGCCGCGUGGGUGAAGAAGGCCUUCGGGUUGUAAAGCCCUGUCAGGGGUUAUGAAAUGCAAGUGUGCUAAUACCACAUUUAUUUGACAAAGGCUCCAAAGGAAGCCACGGCUAACUCUGUGCCAGCAGCAGCGGUAAUACAGAGGUGGCAAGCGUUGUUCGGAAUUAUUGGGCGUAAAGAGCACGUAGGUGGGUUUGUAAGUCAGAUGUGAAAGCCUUCUAUUCAACGGAAGAAUUGCAUCUGAAACUGCGAAUCUUGAGUGUAGGAGGGGAGAAUGGAACUUCUGGUGGAGCGGUGAAAUGCGUAGAUAUCAGAAGGAACGCCGGCGGCGAAAGCAAUUCUCUGGCCUAUUACUGACACUCAGUGUGCGAAAGCUAGGGGAGCAAACGGGAUUAGAUACCCCGGUAGUCCUAGCCGUAAACGAUGGGCACUAAGUAUUCGCAAUGCCCGAAA
rnacentral:rRNA from 1 species